rnacentral:rRNA from 1 species
GGGAAAGGUGAAAAGUACUUUGAAAAGAGAGUCAAAAAGACCGCGAAACCGUUAGGAGGGAAACGAAUGCAGCUGAAUUAGCUCUGCUCAAGUUCAGGAGCGAUGUUGAGUGGUGAUGCCAGCGUGCAAAAGCCGAUAGGUUUUGUCGUCUGGAUAGCCGCCAACUCCUCUGCACUCUUGUGCAAGCUGGCCAACAACAGUUACCCGUGGCUGAGAAGGGCAGUUGGGUAGGUGGUUACCUCUCGCAGGUAAACCUUAUAGCCAUCAGUCUGGUAGUCUGCGGGUGACUGAGGAUAACCUGGCAGUGCAGGCCUCUGGCCUUGGGCCGCUUCUGGUCGUUUGGGCACCGCGGUAGGGACUGCGUGCAGUGUCUGUUGACGGCUGUCUGCUCGGACGGGAGACCGGUCACACCUUGCGCUGUAGUUGUUGGUGAUCAAAUGGCUGCAUCCGACCCGUCUUGAAACACGGACCAAGGAGUGCAACAUGCGUGCGAGUCUUUGGGUGGCAAACCCAGCGGCGCAAUGAAAGUGAAGGCAGGCGGUGGUCUGCUGAGGCGAGAGUCCUCUCGGGGACACAUCGUCAACCGAUCCCAGGUCACGCUGUGGCGGGAUUUGAGUGAGAGCGUGCCUGUUGCGACCCGAAAGAUGGUGAACUAUGCCUGAAUAGGGUGAAGCCAGAGGAAACUCUGGUGGAAGCUCGUAGCGAUUCUGACGUGCAAAUCGAUCGUCAAAUUUGGGUAUAGGGGCGAAAGACUAAUCGAACC